rnacentral:ncRNA from 1 species
AGAACCAAUUAAACAGCAGUUCGUAUAACCCUGAUAAUCGGUUCGGGGGCUCUACUAGGAUCCGUAAAACCUAACUACGAACGCAAUAUGAACGAUA